rnacentral:lncRNA from 10 species
ACUGACAUAAGCUGACACUCUGCUGUAUAUCUUGGCACAAUAUUGCUUUCAUCUCUGGAGUCGGGUGUCUUACAAAUUUAACAUUGUCAGUUGGGACCGUCCAAAGAUAUUUACAGGAAUGCUGAGGUCAAGCAAUGGCAGUGGAACUGUACAGGAUGUGGGGGCUGGGCCAAAGCCGUGGGACUCCGGAUUUAUUUUGUGAGUUGGAGAAUUGUCUAGUCAUCAGACCAACAGAGGAGCAAACCUCUAACAGCAUCUCCCUGCUUCUUCCCACCCUCUCAACAGGAGGCAUUGGAGAAGGUUUAUCUAAUGACUGACAUCUGACGCAUAAGGUGCAGGCACACUUACUCAGGGUGCGAAUAUUUACUGAGUGUCUCUGUGGGGCCAUACACUACUCUAGGCACUGGACAUACACCAGUAAAGAGAAGCUGUCCUCAUCUGUCUUAUUUUCUGGUCUUAAAUCUAAAGCCAAGAGGCAUUUAGCAGCACAAAUCCUCUUCAGCAGUCAACACUCCCAAAGUUUCAGGCACUGAGGAAAAUAAAAACAAAACUGUGGCCCUUUCCCAAGAAGCGCACAGUGUCCACAAGAAUGUGAAAGCCAUCUGGAAACUGAUAAACUGCAAAAAGCUCAGCCAUCUUCUGUUGGCAAAAUAAAAGAAUGGAUGUCCUUGGAAGAACGAUGUCCUUGGAAAGUCAUCAAAUAAAAAU